AGACUAGGUUAAACAAAAUUGGCACCUAGGUGAAAUAAAUCCCGCCCAAUAUUAAGGAGUCGUUUGGUUGCUUUGUUUCAUCUGGGUAAGGUUUGGUAACUUAGUGAAGCUAGGUGUUUGGUUGUCAAAUUGCAGCUUUGUAAAGCCCGUAUUUCAUAACUGAGGCCCGCACUGUACAUCAAAUUUUACCCAGUUUCGAAUCUACCUCAACACCCUCAGAUUGAGUUAGAUGGCCUUGAUUUGUGUGUCAGCUUAUACAAUUAAUUCCUUUUCUCCCUUGCACAUCUUAUCUCUUCCGCCUUUUCUCCCAAAUUUCAGCUCAGGAACCCUAGUGCAGUAGCUUUCAUAGAUCUUGAUCUCACUGCCUAAAAAUUCAGCGGUGCAAGGACGAAGCUAUAGCAUUGGCGCAAGCAGUGGUUCACUCUGAUGGGCAUAAUCUACGAAAAUAUCACACAUCGAUUGUGUAUGUUUAUCAUUGAUGGACCUCCGUUAUCUACCUCUACAGCCAUUUACCUUAUGGUAGAAGACAUAAUGAAUCUUUUCCAUAUGCAAACUAACAUAAUCUUGUAUUUUUAUUUGAGGCACGGUAGACGUAUGCGUAGACGUCAUAGGCGGCACUUGAUUAGGCAUCACUCUCUUAUAGAUCGGAUUCCACCACAAGUCCAGCAUAUGAACAAACUUGUAUCUGUUAGCAACAUUGACUGUUAAGUCAACCUUCGAAUGGAUAGGAAUACAUUCGGGAGAUUGUGUCUUCUUAUAAAGGAAGUGGGGGUUGCGAAAUGGUAGAUAUGUAUAUGUGGAGGAGCAGAUUGCCAUGUUCCUAAGGAUACUUGCACAUCACACAAAAAAUAGUAUAAUAGGUUUCAACUUCAAGCGGUCUGGUGAAACUAUAUCACACUAGGUGCACCUAGUUUUAAGAGCUAUUAUAAGGCUACACAGAAUUCUCUUACCUAAACUGGAACGUGUCACGGAUGAUAAUGGCGACACAAACUGGAAACAUUUUAAGGUACUUUGUUCAUUUUAAGAAUACUUUGUUUAUGUCAGAUUGAGUCCGGGUUAGACUUAAUUAUUUCUCUCCUUCCAAAACCUUGGUUUCUUGUCUUAUAAUGAUUCAUAGGGAUGUAUUGGAGCUUUAGACGGAACGUAUAUCAACGUUCUUGUCAAUAACGCUGAUAAGCCACGUUAUCGCAAUAGAAAAGGUCAAAUCGCAACUAAUACCCUUGCAGCUUGUGACCGCAAAAUGAGGCUUAUGUAUUUUUUACCUGGUUGGGAGGGCUCAGCCGGUGAUGCUAGGGUGCUUCGAGAUGCAGUGACUAGGGAAGAUGGUUUAAAGGUGCCAAAAGGAAAUCACUUUCUAUGUGACAAUGGAUAUGCAAACGCGGAAGGUUUUCUGACUCCAUUUAAAGGCAUUCAUUACCAUUUAAAGGAAUGGGGAGAAGGCACACAAAGACCACAGAAGAGUUGUUCAACCUAAGGCACAGUAAAGCACGUAACAUUAUCGAACGUGCUUUCGCUGUUCUCAAAAUGUGAUGGGGUGUGCUUCGGAGUGCUAGUUUUUACCCUAUAAAAACUCAGAUUAGGAUGAUCAUGGCACGUUUUCUCUUGCAUAAUUAUAUAUGAGGUGAAAUGACACACGAUCCAGUUGAAGAUGCACUUGAUAUUGAGACAAAUGGGGAGGCAGAUAACAAUGACUACGAUCACAUGGAAUUUGUCGAACAAGUUGAACCAAGCACUGAUUAGACUCAAAUGCGGGAAGACAUGGCACAGUCCAUGUGGUUGAAUCGAGGCAAUGUCCAUCAACUGAAAAGGGUGAACUAAUACCAGAAUGAACUUGUGGGCGUAGGAAAAUGAGGUUAUUAUGUGCAGGGAAAGAGGAAAAACACAGUGGCCGAUUUUUUUACAAAUGUCCGGCAGACAUGAAGCAUUCUGGAUCCUUUUUCUGGUGUGAUGACUUCCAUAGCCAAAAAAAUGGGGGCCGUAUACCAGAUUUUGUCUUGAAUUAGGGGUAUCGUCCAGAGAAAAAUGUUAGCAACAUGGUGACUUCCAAAAAUACAAGUGUGACUCCAAGUGAAGUAGGUUGUAGAUUAUGCAGUCAUUGUCGGGCCAAGGCAAAGAUGAACAUGGUUUUAGCUUUCAUUGGAGUAAUGCUGUUUAUUCUUGGGGUUAUUAUUGAGAACUUGCUUUAGGUUGUUGUCUCGAUAGGUUGUUGGCUUGGCUAGAGCAUUACUGAAGAACCUAUCUAUCUAUGUAUUUGCUGUCAAAUAGGUCUCUUUUGUAAACACUUUUGUAGUUAAGUGUCGGAUUUGAUGUUAUAGACCCAUUUUGGUUGGUUGUAUUUGUAUGUUUUUCUUGAAA